rnacentral:rRNA from 1 species
UAACAAAGAGAAGCGAGACGGAGACGUUAAGCGAACCCAAAAAAGUAAGUCUCAGUUCGGAUUGAAGGCUGAAAUUCGCCUUCAUGAAGCCGGAAUUGCUAGUAAUGGCAGGUCAGCAUACUGCCGUGAAUACGUUCCCGGGCCUUGUACACACCGCCCGUCACACCAUGAGAGUUGGGAAUACCCGAAGCCUGUGAGCUAACGUAAGAGGCAGCAGUCGAAGGUAGAAUCAAUGAAUUGGGGUGAAGUCGUAACAAGGUAAC